rnacentral:rRNA from 1 species
AGAGUUUGAUCCUGGCUCAGAGUGAACGCUGGCGGCAUGGUUAAGACAUGCAAGUCGAACGAGAAACAGAACUUCGGUUUUGUGGACAGUGGCGAACGGGUGCGUAACACGUGAGCAACCUGCCCCUAAGUACGGAAUAGCCCACCGAAAGGUGGAUUAAUACCGCAUGUGUCCCUCCUUCGCAUGGAGGAGUGGAUAAAGCUUGUAAUGGCGCUUAGGGAUGGGCUCGCGGCCUAUCAGCUUGUUGGUGAGGUAAAGGCUCACCAAGGCUAAGACGGGUAGCUGGUCUGAGAGGAUGAUCAGCCACACCGGGACUGAGACACGGCCCGGACACCUACGGGCGGCAGCAGUUUCGAAUCAUUCACAAUGGGCGAAAGCCUGAUGAUGCAAUGCCGCGUGGAGGAUGACGGCCUUAGGGUUGUAAACUCCUGUCAUUAGGGAACAACAAGUAGGUUCAUAGCCUACUCUGAGUUAACCUAAAGAGGAAGAGGUGGCUAACUCCGUGCCAGCAGCCGCGGUAAUACGGAGACCUCGAGCGUUACUCGGAUUUACUGGGCGUAAAGGGUGAGCAGGCGGCCAAGUGUGUUAGGUGUGAAAUCCCGGGGCUUAACCCCGGAACUGCGCCUAAAACUACCUGGCUAGAGUCUCGGAGAGGACAGUGGAAUUCUAGGUGUAGCGGUGAAAUGCGUAGAUAUCUAGAGGAACACCAGUGGCGAAGGCGACUGUCUGGACGAGUACUGACGCUCAAUCACGAAAGCGUGGGUAGCGAAAGGGAUUAGAUACCCCUGUAGUCCACGCCGUAAACGUUGUGCACUAAGUUUCGGAGGAUUCGACCCCUUCGGAGCUCAAGCUAACGCGUUAAGUGCACCGCCUGAGGACUACGGCCGCAAGGCUAAAACUCAAAGGAAUUGACGG